GUUCAUAAAUGUAGAUAAAAAAAUGCUAAAAAUCUUUAAAACCUGUGAAAUAUCCCUUUAGUGAUUGCUUUUAGUGACGGUUUAAACAACCAAUAACUGGCACAGACUGAUUUCACAUCAGCCAAUCAGGUUGAUUGUCCCGCCCCUUUAACUGCGGUGCUGAGAUUUAGCUCAGAUUGCGUCUAACACCGUUGGGUGCUGAAAGCUGACAGUUGUUCCGUGAAUUGCCUGUAAGAUUGUGUUAAAUUCUUUGAAGAAUCUUGGAAAUUGGUAAGACAAUGUUAAAAUAGUAUCGCAGAAUUCAUAAUUCGGAAUAGUGAAUAUGUUUUUUUAAUUAGAUCUCAGAAAGCUUAACAGCUGAAGUCCGGAAAAAGAAUCCCCUGUAGUCGUGUAGCAUUGAAGCAUCGGUCAGGUUUUUUUUCCUUAUGGUGCACUUUUGAGGCAUCGUGCCCAGAGACACCAAGAUCGCCCUCACAAGAACUUGGAUGGCGAGCCCCAGACCAGAGGACUGAGUGAACCGGUAGAUGGUGACCUGACUGGUCACCAGCCGUGAAACAUUAAAAAAAUAUUUGACAAA